CCCAAUUCUUAUAGAAUAAUUAAAGCCCAUCCUUUUAAAAUAAUUCGGCCCAAAAACAAUUACUAUAGGAGCCCAAAAUUAAACAAAACAGGAGCCCAAUUCAUACAAAAAUGCAGUUGGGUUUUAAAUAAAAGAAUCGGCCCAGAGAGUUAUAUAAUUCGGCCCAAAGUAAAAUAAAUCAAAGCCCAAUUUUCGGCCCAAUUACAAUUAAAAGGGAAAAGCCCAAAUUAAAUAAAUAACAAAGGCCCAUUAAACUAAAGCCCAAGGAGCCCAACUCUCAUCUCCCUCAAAAUCGAUCUCUCUCCCUAUAGUCUCAAAAUCGGCUCCCUCUCUCUUUUCUCUCUCUCGUUCUCAGCCUCCAGCCGGCUCCGGCGCCUUCUCGUCGCCGGCGCGAGCCCCUGCUCUCCCAAAUCGGCGGUCGUUUCUUCUCCCAAAUCGGCUCAACAGUCAACACAACUCUUUUUUUUUCUUUCCUCAAAAUCGGAACAUCUCUCUCUCGAUCUGUUUUCGGCGAGGGGUCCAGCGCCGCCGCCGCUGAUCACCACGCUGAGCCUCCGUUUGUCUGGACGUCCGCCGCCUCCGCAGCUCCGCCGCGAACGGCCCCGGCGAGGUUGAUGCCUCUAUUCCCCUAUCUCGAUCUUCCUCACGCACAGAUUCGCGGUCGACCUUAGUUUCCUCUCUAUUGAGUGAAACCGUCGCCGCCGCUGUUCUGAAAUUCCGGCGACGCCGCCGCCUUCAACGGCUCUGCCCUCUUUCCUCUAGUAACAUCAAGUGGAACUCAAAUCAGGGCCAAAAUCUCCUCGCUUUCUCGGUCUCAACGAAGACACACAAUUGGGGAGGAAAGUCGAGCCCCGGUUUCUCCGUCCGAAUCGCGGGUCUCCGCCCUUGUUCGACGCCGUCGCGUUCGCCUUGGCCAGAGAUCGCCGCGCCGCUGAAAUCUGUCCUCUGCUCAAGAACCGGGCUCAACCUCAUUAUGUCCCUUCUUCUUGGUUCAGGCAAGUCGUCUCUGUAACUUUGGUCAAAGUUGACGCCGCCCUUCGCCCAAAGGUCUCCGCAAAUUCCCGUCGUCACCGGGUUCUUUCCCGAUCUCGUCUGGCGAGCAGCAGAGCUCUGCCACUGUGGCCGGGGUCUCCUCCGCCGUACUGUGUUGUCGUCGGAGCUCCUUUGUCUCACGAACAGGCAGUCAGCCUCCGACUGAUUCCGAAGUUCUCAUCGACGAAGGUUGGUCCCCAUCUCUUGGUAUAAAUGCAAAAGUAGUAAGCUAUGGUUCUUUCUUUCUAGUUCGGUUAACUGAUUCUCUUGGUUCCUAUUUACCGAUUAUACAAUAGAUUAAUGGCGUGUGGCUUUGGGACUGCAUCGAAAAAGUUCUCACGCAUGUAUCUUAUGAAAAGAAUACAUAUACAUAUACAUAUUGAUUUCUGCCUAAAGAUCAUAUGAGUUUGCUAAGUCUCCUUAUGAAAAUAUAUACUCGUUGUAUGCUUAGUAUCAUUUAAUCGAUCAUGCUUGUUGGAUGAAAAACGAAUGGAUUGAAUGAGCUGAGCCUAGUGUUUACCUUGUAAAAUGUUAUAUGUUUGAGGCUGUUUGUUGAUUUCAGCAGGAGAAGAACUGAAAUAAAGAUGGUUCCUUUAUCAUAUGCAGGAGGAAUCAAGAACAGGAUGGUGAAAACUUAAGACCGGCUUACCUCUUCGAAGUUCCGGUAGAAGCUUUGCAAGCUCUAUCUCUUUCCCUCAAUUUUCUGGUGUCUAAGGGAGAAACAAAGGGUUGUUGGCUGAUAUAGAUGGGUGGAGGCGUAAAGUGGCUGCCUUGCGUGAAUUGGGGGCUGCAGAGGGGAAUGUUGCUGCUGUAGCAGCCCUUUUGCACACACGUUUUUUUUUCUUCCUACUCUCUCUUUUCCUUCUUUUCUUUUGAUAAAGUAGCUUUUCCUUCUUUUCUUAAAGUAGCAAAAGAUUGUAAAAGGUGAUAGGUUGCAAAGUGAUGUGAUUGAAUGAAAUAAAUCUUCUCUGUUGGUAAAUCUAUAUCUGUUAUUAAUCUCGGGUCUUGCUAAAAAAAAAUACAUAAUACUCUAAAAAUUCUCAUAUUUUGAUCGCUGACUUCUCAUCUAUUAACAUCGUGAC
rnacentral:lncRNA from 1 species